GUGAACGCUGGCGGUAGGCCUAACACAUGCAAGUCGAACGGCAGCACCGUAAGAGCUUGCUCUUACGGGUGGCGAGUGGCGGACGGGUGAGGAAUACAUCGGAAUCUACUUUUUCGUGGGGGAUAACGUAGGGAAACUUACGCUAAUACCGCAUACGACCUACGGGUGAAAGCAGGGGAUCUUCGGACCUUGCGCGAUUGAAUGAGCCGAUGUCGGAUUAGCUAGUUGGCGGGGUAAAGGCCCACCAAGGCGACGAUCCGUAGCUGGUCUGAGAGGAUGAUCAGCCACACUGGAACUGAGACACGGUCCAGACUCCUACGGGAGGCAGCAGUGGGGAAUAUUGGACAAUGGGCGCAAGCCUGAUCCAGCCGUACCGCGUGGGUGAAGAAGGCCUUCGGGUUGUAAAGCCCUUUUGUUGGGAAAGAAAAGCAGCAGGUUAAUACCCCGCUGUUCUGACGGUACCCAAAGAAUAAGCACCGGCUAACUUCGUG
rnacentral:rRNA from 1 species